GCCGCUGUGGCGCAAUGGACUAGCGCGUUGGACUUCUAAUCCAAAGGUUGUGGGUUCGACUCCCACCAGCGGUA
rnacentral:tRNA from 1 species